CAGCUUAAAUCCACUUGAUGCGGCCAGUUUCCUCCAAUUCAUGGCUGUGAGUCUGUGCUGUCGUUCUUCCACAGUUUGUUCUCCAUGGAGUACUGCUGACUGAAUAUUCUACAUGCACAGGCAGUGUUGAUGAAGAUGGGAUCCAAAGACAACUGAUGAAUAACAAUAAAACGUUGUAUUUACGGGAUAACGUGCUAAAAACGAAUGCAUAAGCAAAUUCCAAACAAACAUAUUUGGAAUAAAUUGACAAAAGCUAUCAACUCUCCGAGUUGAAGGUCUUCCUAAGAAUGAAUUAAUGCAAAAUUCCUGACUACAUGGGUUAUGACUCCUGUCGCCACUAUCAAAGAGUGACAUCAACUUUGACUUCAAUCUCAUUUACCACCCAGGAUUAUGUUCCAACCAAGCCUAUCACUUCUUCCUUCCAUCAUUUAAAGAUGUCUUCAUCAGCUAUGCUGACAGUCACAUCACUCAUCUGAGUGCUGUUCCCCUCACAUCUACUGUAACUAAUUAAAAGUAAAUUAACACAUAAGUUGUGACAUGCCUUGGUA
rnacentral:lncRNA from 1 species